GCCAUCCUUCCAGCGAGGGUCCCCUACCCACUGGAUGCGCUCUUUGAAGGCCCCCACCUCGUCGAUGUAGGGCUGUCCUUUGGCAUAGUGGAAGAUCUGUGAGGAAGGAGGAAAGCGUGUGAGGGGACCCUGGAGAGAACAAAGCUGUCGAAGCAGGGCUCUAGCCUCAGGGCUGGUAGCGCCAGGUGAAAGAGAUGUCGUCUGAGACCCACUCACUGGACCAGAAGGAGCAGUGCAGGGUCACCCGGGAUCCCACAGCACCAUGGACCUCCCUGUCCGUGUAAACCACAAUAGCCCAGGCUGGGGACAGCACUGCAAGUACAGAGUGGAAAUCAGGCACACGUGUGGGCCGGGCUGAGCGAGGGCUUCAGAGGACGAGAGAUCAACAGCAGGCAAGGAUGAGUCACUGGUUGGAGCCCAUAGCAAAGACAACUGAUUCUGAGGCCUGAGUCUCUGGGCCAACCAAACUGGUAUCCAUCAUAAAACGUGUUGGAGCAGUCUUGAAGAUCUGAGGAACACCUCAGAGGAGAUUCGUGCAUUGAAAAACAGGUUAAAUUAACGAGCCUCAAAGAUCCUUUCCAAUCCUAAAGUCUACGAGUGUGCCUUCUUUGUCAAGCAUUAUAGAAAUUCAAAAUAGUUUUAUUCACUUGAUGCAAAAAGAAGUGAAUUUGUGUAAUUUAAAUCCUGGAAGGAAAGAUGGAGUGCUAAA